AGUUAAAAAAGGACGAUUACAUAUCCAAACCACAGGGUAACCAUUGGCCACCAGAAGGCCCUGGUAUUUGAUCCCGUACAGAGAAGUACAUUACAUAGACUGAACCAGGAAAUUUCAAGUAUUUGCUUGGGAUGCUUGCAUUCCCGUGCAUUUCCUUGGAAAUUUGCAAGGUAGCAUCUUGUAGAAAUUCAAAAUGCAGUUCCUAUCUUCUAUUUUGACAAACCACAAAGCUAAGCGUAAAAAAUAUAGUAGAAUUGGCUCGGAGAUUUUUUAAAAACUUAAGAUAUGAACCAAAUUGCAUCAUUUGUUUCCAUUCAGAUGCGGUGCUUCAAUGGGUUUGACACAGUGGGGAGCAGACACACCUUGCAGAGGUCAGAUUUAAUCCGAGGUCACAUAGUUGCCCUAGGCAUGCACAGAGAACCAUAUAUAACCAUGUCUCGGCAGUAAUGGUCAGUAAAUUCACCAGCGUCAAGUGGAUUUAAAGCUGAUGAGUCACAUUUGCCUUUGACAUGUCCAAGAAAGAUAAGCACGCCUGCGCCAAUUAAGCUUCUCAGUGUUGUUUGCAGCAAGCAGAAAUGCAGGGGUUUUGAUGCGAUUCCAUGGGAACUCUUGCGGUUACGCGACAAAUAAUUGAACCCUAACGUGCCAUUUAAACGGAGCACAAAUGUGGGAGAACGCGUUUUGAAGGUGGGACUCAAUAUUUGCUACGAUGUGAUAAAACAGGAGGAACAGAUCAUUCCGCCCUUCCCCAAAUGGCAGUGUUUGAUUUUUCUGUCUUCGGGAAGGAACUUUCUCUGUCCAUCGAGUUAGGGCUUUGCUACAGUCCAAUUAAGCGAAAACACACCCAUCAACCGUAACGCACACCCAUCCCGCUGCUUCUGCUGUGAGCUCGGAGCUGCCCGUCCCUGGCUGCCCGCCAUCAGUCCGCCAGCUACUUCCCAUCCCUGAGAUCCUCCCAGUUUCCUCACUACUUCCUCUACUAGUACUCCACCUCACCUCUAGUUCUUCUCCACAGUUUCCUCCGUCAGUAAGAUUUACUUCUCCUUUGUGUCUUUUUCUAAUUUAUUUUCUGCUUUUUUUUCUUCAUUUCUUCUUCCUCUUCAUUACCUUCCUAUCUGUUAUUUUCAUCUUUAUUUCUUUUUCUCUUUGUUGCUGCAUAGAUCCUACUGUUUCCCCUAAUUUCUACACUUUCGCUAUCUAUUAUUCUGUUCUCCAUUUCUUUUUCUCCUUGUUGCUCCAUAAGUCCUCCCCUUCAUUAGUCCUUUUCUCCUGGUUUCUUCUUUGUUUGCUGUUUCACUAUUGCUUCCCUCAUUUCUAGCCCGAGUAUCGUUCAUAUAAUGGGGGAAGCAAGACAAGAGGCCGAAGCCCCCUUACCCCCUGCCUCGAGGGGUUCAGAUCCUGUUUUGGGAUCUGGUAACUGCGGCGCCACCACCUCAGUCCAGAGAAAUGGCAUCCACAGGAAUAGCCAACGACGUGCCGUCAACAGACCAAUCGACUCGACUAUGCUACUUCCCUUAAGGUAUGGAGCUGCAUAUGAAAAUUUUGUCUUUUAAUAGCAGACUUAGCCUUCUCCACAAUGGUGCAGUCAUCAUCAACAUGCUUUGGAUUUGGCUUUCGAUCUCUUGUAGAUCUUCUUGGUGUUUCUUUUGGCUCUUCAAAAUUAUGAUGGUCUUUCAUCUUCUAUACUUUGUUGUCGACUGGGAUUAACUUUUGUUUUCUGUGGAUCUUCUCAUUCUCCUUGCCUUGGGUUGUGCUUAGGUGUUUAAACACAAUCUUGUUCAAUUGGUUCUAAAUGCAAGGUUUCAGGCUCUUCAUGAUUUUCUACCUCAAACCAUAUUACAUCUCCCUUCAGAAUUGGAUAGUCUUGAAGUGGCUUCUUUUUUUCUAACCACCAAGAUGAUGCUUUAUCGAAGACGACAUCGCGAGAAACAUGAACUUGUCAUGUGCUUGUUAUGUGCUAGAAUUAGCACCUCCAAUUCUUUCGAUAUGGAUCAUAGUUGACAAAGACGCACCUUUGUGUCUUCUUGUCGAAUUUAGUCAUGUAUUGUUCAGAUAAAAAUGCACAUAUACAAUCAAAUAUUCUAAAAUGACUCGUUGAUGGUUUCUUUUUAUGGAGCAUUUCAACUGAAAACGUAAAAUUACAUUUUGGCAAUAGUAGUCAACUAGUUACGUGUAUAACAAUAUUGACACACUCGACCCAAAAUUUUGGUGGCAUGUUCUUUGCAUACAUUAUGUUUUGGCAUGCUUCUAUUAUGUGGCAAUUUUUCUAUUAUGUGGCAAUUCUUCUACUGUGUCACUCCAUUUUGUUAAGAUGUAUAGGUACAUGUAAAUUGUUUCUGAAUACCAUAUUAUCUUUGUGUAUGCCAUAAACAUCUUAGAUGUACAUUUGCCACCAUUAUUUGUUCGUAGACACCAAAUCUUAUACCCAAGUUCUUUUCUGAUCAUCUGAUGAAACUCCUUAAACUUAUCAAGUGCUUUUAAUUUUUCUUUCAUAAAAUAGACCCAUGUAUAUCUCGAAAAAUCAUCAACAAAGAUAACAUACCACUUGCUUUCAACUGAUGGCUUUGGCACCUUCCUGAAUACAUCUACAUCUGAAUGCACAAUCUCGAAUGGUGCUUUAGCUCUAUACUUCAACUCCUUAAACAGUUUUUUGUGCGUCUUUCCAUAUUGAUAUCCUAAGCAUACUUUAUCUAGUCGCAUCUCUAACUUUGAUAGGCCAAUCAAAUGCCUUUUAUUAGACAUAUCUCAGAGUAUCUGAUAUCCAACAUGAGUGAGUGUCUCAUGCCAAAUAUCUAAAGUGUCAUGCUUCUUUGCUUUGUCAAUAUAUGUUGUUUAUGCUGACAAAACAUAUACUGAUUGAACUUUUCUUCCAUCAAAUAUGAAAGUGCCUUGAACAUCUAUAUCUUAGUUAACUUUCACAUCUUUUGAGUCAAACAAAACAUUAAACUUUCACAUCUUUUGAGUCAAACAAAACAUGAUGGCCUGCAGAGACUCUUACUCGGCACUCUCACACCAAGCACAAGUGCAUCACUCACUUCCUCAAGGCACAAGCUCAAGACACUCAACACCAACCACAACAAGGGGGUCGGCACCCUCAUUUAUAGGCACCAACAAGUUGGUGGCGGAAAAUUCCACCAGCUUAUUAAUACUUUUUAUUUUAGUUUUACUCACUUCUUUUUUAAGCACCAACAUGCCAAUGGAGGCUCAUUGCUUCUUGAGUCUUCUUGACUCUUCUAAGAUAUUCGGUGAUGACUCUCCAACAGAAACUCCGUUCUUUAUUUUCUACACUCAAAUGCAGGGACGUGGUUGGUAUUAAUUAACCGGGAUAGGAGCAUGUCUCUAGGCAACAAGAUGCCUGUUAUGUUCCACACUUAAACACAGGGCUCAUCCCUGCCGUAAAAUUGGAGGCACAACCGGCCGGGCCAAUCAGAGAGUGUUGUUUUGUGCAAAGAUGGGAUAGCUUGAGUGGAAUCAUAAUCAUCUUGCACUAACUGGUGAUGCCUUUCGGAAGGCGACCCGGAUGCGCCUAGCCAUAAGGGGAAAGCAGGAUUCAAGUAAGCCUUCAGUUAACAUUUCCAAGGAAGUGCGUGCACCAAAAAAACGCUUUGUUGAUUAUAACGCACCUUUUCCCAAAUAAAACUGAACAAAACAAACUCGCUCAUGCCAUUCUAGUUGAAGGGAAAUG